AGGUAAAGUAAUAAAUAAAAUAGCUCCAAUUAUACCAAGCACCUGCAUAUGUUUCUAACUCUACCGUUUGAGGUGAAAGUGUGGUUCCAGAACAGGAGGAUGAAGUGGAAGAGGGUAAAAUUGGGCCAGCUGGGCACUGCUGCCUAAGAAAAGAACUGGUGAACGUGAAGAAAGGAACCCUGUUCCCUUCAGAGAUAUCAGGGAUCGGUGCAGCCAUGCUCCAGCA
rnacentral:lncRNA from 1 species